CUUUUUUUUGUCUUGAAGUUGCGUCGUCCUGGCCACGGUCCUGGCGAUGGACAUCUGCGGUACUGUCGCUAGGUCAACGGGUGCACGCCGUUGUUACUUUACCUGGUCGAAUACGGCUUCGAGGGAGAGCGAAGCGAUACCUAACCCCACGGUGGGAAAAAAAACAAGUUGGGAAGUUGGGGGAAGGAGAGGGGUAGUGAUUCGAAAAUUUCUUGGCUUGGAAUUCUAACCCGUGCAGGGAAUCCUGAAUAGGCCACUUUUGCCAUUUUACACCGGCGCUUUAUGGAAAAGUGUAUUGAGAUUUGGAAGGGGCUGUUAUUCUUAGUCACAAGACACUGCACAUAAUGUUCACUUACUCAUGCCUUUGUACGCUGCCUGAUGAUGAGUAUCAGUGUAAUCACUGAUGUCUAAAUAUGCUACUGGAAAUAUUUUGGAGCAGUGUAUGACAUUUCUGCUUCCUUAAAAAACCUAAAUUGUGCACCAGUUUUUUUUUCACCACCUCUGCUCUUCAGUUUCAGGAAUCUCACGAAUUUCAUGGUCGCGAGCUUGGCAGAUCCAUAUUUAAAUUCGCAGAGUCUGUCAAAUAAUUUUACAGGCACAGCAAAUGCUAAUAUGGACUUUAUCAUUGUUAGCUCAGUGCGGUGGUUCAAAAUACCACUUUCGUUGAAAUAGCAGUGCUCAGGUUUACACUGCACAAUUGAGGUGAUGUUGAAUGGUUUAUACAUAUUCUGUUUUUAAAUGUAAGCUUUCUUUUUUAUACUGCUCAAAAUGUGGUAUCUGGUGAUGAGAAUUGCACAUCUUUUUCCCUGUAACCUGCUCAAAAAUUACAUUUUAGUGCUUUAAAAGUAAUAUUUUGCUGCUCCUAAAAUUGCUCCAAGUUGUAUUUCGGCUGUCGCACCCCUGAUCUUGUUAAACAGUAGCUUUUAGUGUUCGUUGUGUUUUAGUGUACGCUGUGCUUUUACUUUUUAGUGUACGUUGUGUUCAAUAAGCAAACAAGUUUGAUAUUCGGACAUUCUUUCCGCAUUUCUUCUGGUGCCCCCGUAAUCUAACAUGUACCUACCAGUCUGACCAGUAUAACUGUUGGCGCAUGACUGAGGAAUCUCGUACACUACUCCUGUAACACAAGGAAUGGAGGAGCUUCGGUGUUUCUGACCACAUUAACCUUUAUUUUUGGUUUUGCCUUUGGCCCCGAGCGUAACAAGUGUGCAAGUGCUGCCCAGCUUCUUAAGAGCAGUACAUACCACUGCCACAUCAUAUCUGGAUGCGACACUCUUAAUUGUGCGCCAUCUUGUGAACAAGUCUAACAAGUGUUGUGUAUUUUCGUGUACUAAUAAGAGGUUGUAUCAAUAAAGAACUUGAACGUAGGGCAGCAGGCUAAAGUGGCUUUCAUAGUUUUUCUCACAGACUUCGCAUUUGCUGAAAUGUUUUAUCCAUCUCACCACCUUUUCGCAGGAUCUCGUGACCGCAUAAUCUGGAGGAAACCUCUUGAUCUGAGCGUAAACACUGCUCAAUACCAUGUGAACACACGACUUGCACACAGCCUCUUGUACCAGAGAUGCAGCCAAUCUAUCUUUGAUCACUUCGGAAUAAGCUAAUUUGUAAGGCAAAAGAGGCUGUUGCGACCUGGGCCUGUACUGCCAACACACAUGCAUUGAUUUGCAGCCCGGUCGCUGCUGCCCCUAGGAGCAGGGAUCUGCGACAGCCUGUGAUGGUUGGUUUCCUGCCCAAUCGCUGCUUAGAGGACCCUGGGCAGCCCACUGUCAUUGCCUCAUCUCCUGCUGCAGCCUCUGAAUCAUCGCCCAACUUCUGCUGCCCUGGCCAGCCCUAUGCCCAUAGAGCCUUGCUGAACUCGCCUCCUAGUUUGGGCUGCAUUACUGAACUGCAGUAACUUGAAGAGCCGAACUGAAAAAUAAAUGGUUUGUCUUGGUAUACUUAGAAAUAAAGUUACAAAAAUU